GGCGUGCGCUUGUAAUCCCAGCUACUUGAGAGGCUGAGGCAGGAGAAUUGCUUGAACCCAGGAGGCAGUGGUUGCAAGUGAGCCCAGAUUGCACCACUGCACUCCAGCCUGGGUGACAGAGCGAGGCUCUAUCUAAAAAAAAAAAAGGAAUAAAUUAAUAGAUUUAAGCAACAAUGACCUGUGGCUGCCAAUGUCCCCGGACACUCACACCCAGACAUUACCCACUCCUGAGAUGGAGAGCACCACUCUGAAAUUGCCUGAAGAGAAAGGUGUCCUCCUGGAGCUGGUUCAGGUUCUGAAUAAACUAAACACAGGGGACAGAGACACAUGUUAACUGACACUCUGAGGAUGUGACUGCUGGGCCCGGGGAUGGGAAACUUCACAGAACAAGGGACUUGGGCCACAUGCACGGCCACCUCCCCAGCCACGUGACUCUUGGUGAGGGUGGGGUAGAACUUACUCAAUGAAGACAUUGUUUUUUCUUUUUAAAAAGAAUUCAAAGUUCAUCUCAUUCCUAUUCUUGGCGGAUUGGCCACCUAGCCUGCGUGUAGCCUUUUUCUUCUCUGCUGCUAAACAGAACCUCUUUUCCUUGAGAAGGAAAGAAGUCGGAAGAGAGGAAGACGGAAGAAAUCGCUGCUCAGCGCAUCCGUGUGAGGUCCCGGGUAUUCUGUGAGGAAAGGCUGGCGCAGGCCCGCCGCGCCCUCGGCCUCGGGGAAGGAGGUGAACACAGAAGGGGGUGCCGGGCCCACGGCUGAGACACCUGAGAGGACGCCUGCAGCCCGGGUGACCACAGCAGGGGCUUGGAAGUGAACAUUGCUGACGAAAACUAAAAAUAUUUGAAGACUUUUACUGACAUCAG
rnacentral:lncRNA from 10 species